rnacentral:rRNA from 1 species
CCCCUAGAUGUUCUGGGCCGCACGCGCGCUACACUGACGAAGUCAGCGAGCAUCUCCUACGCCGAAAGGUGCGGGGAAUCUUGUGAAACUUUGUCGUGCUGGGGAUUGAUUUUUGAAAUUCUUGAUCAUCAACGAGGAAUUCCUAGUAAGCGCAAGUCAGCAGCUUGCGUUGAUUACGUCCCUGCCCUUUGUACACACCGCCCGUCGCUACUACCGAUUGAAUGGUUUAGUGAGAUUUUUAGACUGGAACUCUCUUGUUCAGCAAUGAACGAGAGGGACUCUGGGAAGCUAUUCUAACUGUAUCAUUUAGAGGAAGUAAAAGUCGUAACA